AUGAACGCUGGCGGCGUGCCUAAUACAUGCAAGUCGAGCGAACAGACGAGGAGCUUGCUCCUCUGACGUUAGCGGCGGACGGGUGAGUAACACGUGGAUAACCUACCUAUAAGACUGGGAUAACUUCGGGAAACCGGAGCUAAUACCGGAUAAUAUAUUGAACCGCAUGGUUCAAUAGUGAAAGACGGUUUUGCUGUCACUUAUAGAUGGAUCCGCGCCGCAUUAGCUAGUUGGUAAGGUAACGGCUUACCAAGGCAACGAUGCGUAGCCGACCUGAGAGGGUGAUCGGCCACACUGGAACUGAGACACGGUCCAGACUCCUACGGGAGGCAGCAGUAGGGAAUCUUCCGCAAUGGGCGAAAGCCUGACGGAGCAACGCCGCGUGAGUGAUGAAGGUCUUCGGAUCGUAAAACUCUGUUAUUAGGGAAGAACAAACGUGUAAGUAACUAUGCACGUCUUGACGGUACCUAAUCAGAAAGCCACGGCUAACUACGUG
rnacentral:rRNA from 1 species